GGGCGGGUUGCGUGCAACAGACAAAAGAUAAAGAACCAGUGACCAAAUCCUAUCAGCAGAAAAAUAAAAACCCAGAGGCAGCGAUUCCGGUCCGGCCGCUUCCCUUUCCCCGGGGCGUUACGACGCCACCACAGGCUGCGCAGAAGCGUAUCGGGACGCGUCCAAUGAGGUGAGAGAGUUCCGUCUCCACCGUGCGUCUCCGUUCCAGCCAUCCGCCGCUGAGAGGAACCGAGACUACACUACCCAGCAUGCACCACCCGCCCUGUUCCCUUCGCCCCUGCUCCGACUGAACCGAGACUACACUACCCAGCGUGCACCACCCCUCCCUGCUCCCUUCGCCCCCGCUCCUACCGAGCCAAGACUACACUACCCAGAGAGCACCGCGCUGAGGGGGCGAGGCCGGAGUCCCACUUUCUAAGAGGAAGUAAAGGUUUUCAAAAUGUCCAACAAAGAAUCUUGUGGGAAAAAAGAGAAUUCUUGGAGAAAAGGCACUAUUUCAUCACCCAACUUUGUUGACGAAGAUAAGAAAGAGAAAAAACCCUCAGCCAGUUCUAUUAGUUCACCUUGCUCUACAAGAUCUGUUUCAUCACAGAAGAGAAAACUGAAAUCUGAUCAUACGGACAUUUUGUAUAGUAAUAUAAAAAGAAGACAGGAACCAAAAAGACUGAAUGUAGAAACUGACAUUCCAAGAAAGAGACCAAAAACCAGUUUUUCAUCACAAGGAUCUGUUAAACUCCAAGAAACAUCAUAUUCAGAUGAUAAUCAAAUUAUUUCACAGAGUCCUUCUUCAAAUGGAAUUAAAAAAGAUAUAAAUAAAUGUGUAGAUUUUAAAAUUAAAGAUACUAAAUUGACAAAUGUUAAGAGUAAGCCUGACUAUGGAAUUAAAAACCUCAGCAGUCCUAAGAUUGCCAAAGAUGUAAAACCUAAAACUGAAGGCCAGACAGGUGAAAGAAAGUGUCCUCACUUACAUGUUCGGAAGGAGAUGAUGAAAGAACUCAAGAAAGAAAGAUACAAUAAAUUGAGAGAUAGUUCUGAAAAAUGUGCUUCAGAGAAAUGCAAGAGGAUCCAAUUUUCUCAGGAUUGUGCUUCCCACAAGAUAAUUAAGGAAUCCCUUGAAUCUAGAAGAAGGAAGAUCAGUUUCAAAAUCCCAGUAAAGUCCCGUGAUACCUUCCAGAAGCUUGUAGAAGAAAAUGUCUUCAAUUUAGUUUCCAACAAAUCAAAGACAAAGGAGGAGAAAAAAGAAUGCCUGGAAAACUCCCAUGUUUCAUUAAAUUUGAGGAAGCAGAGAAGUGAACAUUUAUUUUCAGGUUCCACAUAUAAUCCAACUGUUCAUGAGGGGGAAGGAAAAUAUUGUGAACAUCGAGAAAGUAGUGACUCAAGUUCUCUUGAAAACCUAAUCCAGAAUAUUGAUGCUCCAUGUUCUUCAGUGUCACUUGAAAAUGUUCAAGAUACAGAUCAAGAGAUGCAGAUAGUAGAAGAGCUUCAUGCUGCACGUGUGGGAAAAUGUGUGGAUUUGCCUGUAGUUCCACCUUCUGGAGAGUUAAUGAGUAUGGAGAUUGACUUAGUGGAAGAUGAUGGACAUUCCUCUGCUGCAAAUACUGCUUCAGACAAAAAGCUUCUGAUUGUUAUUGACACAAAUAUUCUGAUGAAUCAUCUCAAAUUUGUUAGAAUUCUGAAGACAACAGAAAUCCCGGGCUUUGACAAACUUGUGUUAAUAAUUCCCUGGGUUGUGGUGCAAGAGCUAGAUCGUAUGAAGGCAGGAAAACUGCUAAAACAUGCCCAGCACAAAGCUAUUCCUGCAGUUCAUUUCAUCAACGACAGUCUUAAAGAUCAAGAUAGGAGACUAUGGGGUCAGUCAAUGCAACUUGCAUCUCAAAAACUUUAUGGAUUAAGUGAUGAAAAUAAUGAUGAUCGAGUAUUAAAAUGCUGUCUUCAAUACCAGGAAUUAUUCCCUUGUUCUGUUGUUAUACUGUGCACGGAUGAUAGAAAUUUAAGAAACAAAGGCCUUAUAAGUGGUGUGAAGUCACUCAGUAAAGAAGAAUUGAGUGCAGAGUUAUUAAACUUAUCUCUGAACACAGAUGUAUGUCAUCAACCUUGUAUAUCUAAGCAACAAUUGAAAGAAGAAGCAACAUCUCUGCAAGAGAGCUAUGAAGAAGAAUCAAAAAAUUCUGGACUAUCCAUUUUACUUGAAAGCAUUAUAUCUGAUCUUGAAAAAUCCCUUGGAACAGCUUUAUCUUCAAUAUUAGAAACAGAAAUGAAAAUUGCUUUUGGAGACCUUUGGAUGGAGAUGCUAUACUUGAAACCACCAUGGACUCUAAUACAUUUAUUACAGUGCUUUAGAAAACAUUGGGUGGCUGUAUUUGGAUUAAUUAUGGAAAAGAAUUUGCUUUUAACCAUUGAGAGCCUAUAUGAAAAUCUCUAUAAAGCUAACAAUGCAGUGGAUUUUACAACAGUGAAAUUCCUACUUCAAGAUUCUAAAAGUUUGUUACAUGCUUUCAGUACUAGGUCAAAUUAUGAUGGUAUUCUUCCACAGGCCUUUGCUCAAGUAAACAAACUACUUCAAACAUUUACAGAGGUCAAGGCAAAACUUAAGCAAAAUCCUUCAGGAAAUAUAGCUGGUAAAAAGCAAGAAGAUACUUCUUCAAUGAAGUCUAAUAACCAAGAAAUCACCAUUUUCUCAGCUUCUCAUCUCCCGCAGCCCAAGAGGCAUCAAGAAAUCUGGUCUAUCCUAGAGAAUGUUUGGAAUACAAUAUAUCAGAACAGCACGGAUGUCUUUCAAAGAUUGGGCUCAAAUUCAGCUCUUACUUUUUCAAAAAUAGCCUCAUUUGAAGAAGCAUUUAUAUAUCUUCAAAAACUAAUGGCAGCUGUGAAGGAUAUUCUUGAAGGAAUUCAGAGGAUUCUGGCCCCAAACAGUAAAUACCAAGAUGUUGAGACCCUCUAUAACUUCCUUAUCAAGUAUGAGUUAAAUAAAAAUGUCAAAUUUACUGCCCAGGAACUUUAUGAUUGUGUUUCACAGACUGAAUAUCGGGAGAAGUUAAUCAUCGGAUGUCGGCAGCUGGUGGAGAUGGAAUGCACCAUGCAGCAGUGCAAUGCGUCUGUGUACAUGGAGGCCAAAAACAGGGGCUGGUGUGAAGACAUGCUCAACCAUAGUACUUAAGUGUUGAGUUGUCACUUCCAAGGAGUUGCACUGGUCUUCAAAGUAGCUUUCUCUCUUUGGAGCCAAACCCAAGAACUGUUUAAGAAAUGUCUCAUUGGUACAAAAAGAACUGUGUACAAGUUUAAUUAUAGACGUGACCUUCUCCAUGAGAGAACUUACUAAGGCUGCUCACUGCAGACAACACCCCGCUUGUGCCGUGUCAGGGAUGUGAGCUGGGUAGGAGAAUCUUCCAGAGCAUCUCUGCUCGCCACGUCCUUUUUUUUUUUUCCUUCUUCCCUGUGGAGCUAAUAAAGCAUCUGCUCCCCUAGUCUUUCUCAACUGCUUCCAAUUGGUAUAUCUGGUUUGGGUGGUUUUGCUCUAAUUUAUUACUUCCUCUUUCCUUUUUAUCUUUAAUAUAUGUUAUACCUUGUAGGAAAUUUCAUUGCUGCUACCUCCAUUCUUCCACACAUUUCACCUUAUACAUGUAGUUUUUAAUUUUAUUUUAGUUUGUCUUUUACCUUGUACAUUAUUUUAUUUCAAUCCUUUUUUCAUUUUGUUAUAUUGCUACGUAAGAUGUGUCCUACUUUCUAGUCUUUUAAAAUUCAUAUAAAAAUUUUGCUUCAGCCUUCCUUUGAAAUGUUUUCUAAAAUUUAAUGAAAUGUGUUUUUUUUUUCUAUUUCUCUUUUCCUUGUAAACUUUUUUGAUCUUAAACUUUAUUGAUUUCAUAUUUUUCAUAAUACUUCCCUAUAGGUGUUGAGGGUUCCCUUUCCUGCUACCCCCUACUCUUUUCUUUCCUGUUCCCCACUCUGGAUGGGUGCAUCUCAAAUCAUGUAAGGAACAUAAGCCCCACCUUGCAGAACAUUCAUUUGUUUUGAUGGAAGAAUUACCACAUACUUAGAAGAGGAACUUAAGGUUUCAAAAUGUCCAUUCUUUAGUAUGUAUAGCUAGUAUAUUUUGGGCAGAAGCCAUCAUGGAGCAUGCCACGCACCAGAAGGGAACAGUGAGGAAAGUCAUGCCAGGAGAACGGCUCUCUGUGUAUUACUCUUGGCCUUGCCCUUGUGAGGAAGUUCCUGAGAAGCAUCCAUGAAAAUUAAUACAGCAAAGUGCCACAGUGGGGUAGCUGCAGGCAUUUUCUACUAAAAAGGGUGGGCCCCCCCCCUUUUUUUUUUAACCAGAGAUAGUCAUUUCCCUCUUUAGAGGACCAGGGAGGAUUCUCUGAUUUGGAGCAGCCCCCAGAUGUCCCAGCCUACUGGCCAAAAAGCAAAGCUGGCUAAAGAAUUGGGGUUUCUUGUGCCCCACUGGGUCCUCUUGCUGGACCUGCAGUGAGCAAUUGAGACUGAAAAUUAAGACUUCACAGAUGAGUUAGUUGUCAGCUUCCCUAUUGUGGUAAUUGUCACGUGAAAUAUAGGAAACAAGACAAACCUGAAGGUCCAUUUCCUGAAUUCUUUGACCAUCCUCUUAAGGGGGAACAGAACUCCUUUUAAGGUUGAUCCAGGCUAUUUAUUGUCUUGGGCAACCUUUAGAGCCUGCAUCAUAUUGUUCCUACUCCUGACACCUUCCCAAGCCCAACCAUCUACCAGAGACCUUUUCAGUAGCCUUCUAUGAGGAGUUGGAUUGAUUUACCAAUUCCGUCUUUGAGAGAAUCUCACUACUGAAUGAUCAAAUGCUCUCUUCGUGAUGUCCCUCAUAGCUCUUUUCUGAUUCAGAGACUUGGACUGAUAGGCCUAGUUCCCUACCCAGUCGGUGGCGCUCUGGCAAUUUUGCCAAUAAAACUCCACCGAAAAUAAACUCCAUGAGCUUGAGCAGAAUUACCAGUUAUGAACCUGGUAGGUGAGACACCCAAAUCUCAGCUAUGACCUUGCUCAAUGUUUCUAAGUACAAACCAGUUUUAACAUCCUAUUCUCUCCUAAUCUUUUCUCAGUCUUUGGAGCUCUAUUGUAUGUUGUCUAUUGAUUAUGGGCUAAACUACACCAGUUCAGUACACAGCCCUUGUGGGAUCAAACGUUUCCCUAAUGUGAUUUCCAAAAGUUAUGGAAAAUAUACCUGUCCUUAGCCUCUCCUUCUUUUCCUUUGAGCUUUUGAGUGCGUGUAUAUGUAAAUUUUGUCCAACAAUCAAUCACAUUACACCUGCACAAUCAGGAGAGUUCCAUUGCUCCCCAAAAUUCAUAUGCCCCUCUAGCCAACUCCCAUCUCCGCCUCAAGAAGCCAUUGAAGAGUCUGUAGUUUUCUUUUUCCAGAAUGCAACAUAAAUGGAGGCAUUUGAGGCUGGCUUCUCACCAUGAUGCUCCGAGAUCCAGCCAUGUUCUAUCAGCUCAUUCUUUUUCAUUCCUCAGUGGUAUUCCAUUGUAAGUGGAUAAAUGCCCGGGAAUGGGAUUCCUGCAUCAGGAAUUUAACUAAGAAACUGCCUGUUUUCCAAAGUGACCUUACAAUUUUGUCCUUCAGCAAUUUAAUGUGUUCUAAACCAGGACUCGGUGUUACUUUGUUUAAUCAAUGUGGAUAUCAUUUUACGUCCUUUUCCUAAUGAUUCAAGAUUGUGAAUGUCUUUUCAUAUUCUCAUUGGAAUCCAUUUGUUCUUUUUUGGUGAAGCGUAUUGUUCAUAUCUUUUGCCCAUUUAAAAAUUGUCCUGUUGUGUCUUGAGAGUUCUAUAUACAGAACUGCCUUUAAUGGGUAGUUUUAAGCCUGAGGCUUUCAAAGUACAAGAGAAUACAUCUUGUGAUUUGGGAGUAGCCUUAAUGGAUACGUAGCCCUAUGAAUUAUUGUUACAAUUUUAUGUGGUAGAUGCCAGCUUUUAAUUUAGCAACCCCUACUCUUUUCUGGAUAUAUCAUUUCAAAAGUUAAUUCUCAUUCAUGUUUGAUAUUGCACCUAUUUUAUAGGCUGAAAUAGUAUGGCACCUUUUGCUUACUGAGAAAUGGGUAAUCUUCAGAUAUGCCCUUUUUAGGUCAUAUAUUUUCACAGGUUGUCAACUCUAUACUCAGCUUAAUACUUGAGAUUUUGCUUCUUACCUUUCUUCAGUCCCUAACAAAGCAUGUAACUGUUAAUAGUGAAGCUUGAAUAUUUUGUUGGCCAUUAUGCUAGUAGGCUGACGAACCCAUGACAUAUACGAGUACUUCUCCACUUUAUAAAUUUAACUUUUGCUGCUCAGUUUAUUUUAUGACUCUGGAAGAACUUCUGAGUUUUAUUAUAAAAGAAAUCAGUGCUUCAAAAUAAUUCCUUUUUUACCUACAGGCAAUUUAAUGUAUUAGCAGGUCUCCUGUUUACAAGAUUAAAUUUGUGGUUUGCCUUAUUAAGACUUGUAUUGGUGUAUCUGUAUUUUUAUCUUUCCACCCAGUUACCUUGUAUCUUAUGUCUCACUCAACUAAAGACUCUUCAAAUCCUUUUUUGAAACAAAGAGUAGACAAAUAAAUGGCUGAUAUUAUAGACUGAAUUACCUGUGACUUGCACUCUACUGAA